rnacentral:rRNA from 1 species
AUUUUUCUUUCCCCCCUAUUUUAAACCUCCUUUUGGACAACGAAGCACGGACCCUUAGAGUUUGUUCGUGGUUCAGGACGAACGCUGGCGGCGCGCCUAAUACAUGCAAGUUGAGCGCUGAAGCUUGGUACUUGUACCAACUGGAUGAGCAGCGAACGCGUGAGUAACGCGUGGGGAAUCUGCCUUUGAGCGGGGGACAACAUUUGGAAACGAAUGCUAAUACCGCAUAAAAACUUUAAACACAAGUUCUAAGUUUGAAAGAUGCAAUUGCAUCACUCAAAGAUGAUCCCGCGUUGUAUUAGCUAGUUGGUGAGGUAAAGGCUCACCAAGGCGAUGAUACAUAGCCGACCUGAGAGGGUGAUCGGCCACAUUGGGACUGAGACACGGCCCAAACUCCUACGGGAGGCAGCAGUAGGGAAUCUUCGGCAAUGGACGAAAGUCUGACCGAGCAACGCCGCGUGAGUGAAGAAGGUUUUCGGAUCGUAAAACUCUGUUGGUAGAGAAGAACGUUGGUGAGAGUGGAAAGCUCAUCAAGUGACGGUAACUACCCAGAAAGGGACGGCUAACUACGUGCCAGCAGCCGCGGUAAUACGUAGGUCCCGAGCGUUGUCCGGAUUUAUUGGGCGUAAAGCGAGCGCAGGUGGUUUAUUAAGUCUGGUGUAAAAGGCAGUGGCUCAACCAUUGUAUGCAUUGGAAACUGGUAGACUUGAGUGCAGGAGAGGAGAGUGGAAUUCCAUGUGUAGCGGUGAAAUGCGUAGAUAUAUGGAGGAACACCGGUGGCGAAAGCGGCUCUCUGGCCUGUAACUGACACUGAGGCUCGAAAGCGUGGGGAGCAAACAGGAUUAGAUACCCUGGUAGUCCACGCCCGUAAACGAUGAGUGCUAGAUGUAGGGAGCUAUAAGUUCUCUGUAUCGCAGCUAACGCAAUAAGCAUACCCGUCCCUGGGUGUCCCUUU